AGCGAACGCUAGCGGCGGGCUUAACACAUGCAAGUCGAGCGGAGGGGCAACCCUUAGCGGCGGACGGGUGAGUAACACGUAGGUAACGUAUCCUCUGGUGGGGAAUAACCGUGGGAAACCAUGGCUAAUACCGCAUAUCGUAUGAAAGUAUGAAAGCCUUCGGGCGCCAGUUGAGCGGCCUGCGGCCCAUUAGUUAGUUGGCGGGGUAACGGCCCACCAAGACGAUGAUGGGUAGCUGGUCUGAGAGGAUGAUCAGCCACACUGGAACUGAGACACGGUCCAGACUCCUACGGGAGGCAGCAGUGGGGAAUAUUGCGCAAUGGGCGAAAGCCUGACGCAGCCACGCCGCGUGAGUGAUGAAGGCC
rnacentral:rRNA from 1 species